rnacentral:rRNA from 1 species
AUUGAACGCUGGCGGCAGGCCUAACACAUGCAAGUCGAACGAGUUGCGGACGGGUGAGUAAUGUCUGGGAAACUGCCAUAUGGAUGGGGAUAACUACUGGAAACGGUAGAUAAUCCCGCAUACCAUCGAAUAUGCCCAUAUGGGAUUAGCUAGUAGGUGGGGGAAAGGUUCACCUAGGCGACGAUCCCUAGCUGGUCUGAGAGGAUGACCAGCCACACUGGAACUGAGACACGGUCCAGACUCCUACGGGCGGCAGCAGUGGGGAAUAUUGCGCAAUGGGCGCAAGCCUGAUGCAGCCAUGCCGCGUGUAUGAAGAAGGCCUUCGGGUUGUAAAGUCCUUUCAGCCGGGAGGCGUUACCCGCAGAAGAAGCACCGGCUAACUCCGUGCCAGCCGCCGCGGUAAUUC